rnacentral:rRNA from 1 species
CCCGCUGAACUUAAGCAUAUCAAUAAGCGGAGGAAAAGAAACUAACAAGGAUUCCCCUAGUAACUGCGAGUGAAGCGGGAAAAGCUCAAAUUUGAAAUCUGGCGGCUCUGCCGUCCGAGUUGUAUUCUGGAGAAGCGUCUUCCGUGCCGGACCGUGUACAAGUCCCUUGGAACAGGGCGUCGUAGAGGGUGAGAAUCCCGUCUUUGACACGGAUCCCCGGUGCUAUGUGAUACGCUCUCGAAGAGUCGAGUUGUUUGGGAAUGCAGCUCAAAAUGGGUGGUAAAUUCCAUCUAAAGCUAAAUAUUGGCGAGAGACCGAUAGCGAACAAGUACCGUGAGGGAAAGAUGAAAAGCACUUUGGAAAGAGAGUAAAACAGUACGUGAAAUUGUUGAAAGGGAAACGCUUGAAGUCAGUCGCGUCUGCCGGAACUCAGCCUUGCUCAUGCUUGGUGCACUUUCCGGUCUGACGGGCCAGCAUCGGUUUUGGGCGGCGGACACUGGCGAGGGGAAGGUGGCAGCUCCGGCUGUGUUAUAGCCCCCCGUCGCAAACGUCGUCUGGGACCGAGGAAUCCGGCGCAAGCCUGGGAUGCUGGCGUAAUGGCUUUAAGCGACCCGUCUUGAAACACGG